GAUGAAGAACGCAGCGAAAUGCGAUAAGUAAUGUGAAUUGCAGAAUUCAGUGAAUCAUCGAAUCUUUGAACGCACAUUGCGCCCGCCAGUAUUCUGGCGGGCAUGCCUGUUCGAGCGUCAUUUCAACCAUCAAGCCCACGGCUUGUGUUGGGGACCUGCGGCUGCCGCAGGCCCUGAAAAGCAGUGGCGGGCUCGCUGUCACACCGAGCGUAGUAGCAUACAUCUCGCUCUGGGCGUGCUGCGGGUUCCGGCCGUUAAACCACCUUCAUAACCCAAGGUUGACCUCGGAUCAGGUAGGAAGACCCGCUGAACUUAAGCAUAUCAAUAAGCGGAGGA
rnacentral:misc_RNA from 1 species